AUUGAACGCUGGCGGCAGGCCUAACACAUGCAAGUCGAGCGGCAGCACUUCGGGUGGCGAGCGGCGGACGGGUGAGUAACACGUAGGAAUCUACCUAGUAGUGGGGGAUAGCCCGGGGAAACUCGGAUUAAUACCGCAUACGCUCUACGGAGGAAAGGGGGCUUCGGCUCUCGCUAUUAGAUGAGCCUGCGUCGGAUUAGCUAGUUGGUGAGGUAAAGGCUCACCAAGGCGACGAUCCGUAACUGGUCUGAGAGGAUGAUCAGUCACACUGGAACUGAGACACGGUCCAGACUCCUACGGGAGGCAGCAGUGGGGAAUAUUGGACAAUGGGGGAAACCCUGAUCCAGCCAUGCCGCGUGUGUGAAGAAGGCCUUCGGGUUGUAAAGCACUUUCAGUUGGGAGGAAAAGUUUGUGGUUAAUACCCACGAGCCGUGACGUUACCAACAGAAGAAGCACCGGCUAACUCCGUG
rnacentral:rRNA from 1 species